CUCCCCCCAACCCCCCCGUUUUCAGCCGCCUGACAGCGCAGCUGCGCAGGCGCGAAGACGCCCCAGCCUAAUGUGCGUGUGUCGGCUGUGUAUACAGCAUCCAGAUUCGCCCAAUGGGAACCAGGAUCAGGUGUGGGGGGCGGGACCUCGCAGAGAGGGGCGGGGUUCCACUGGUAGAAGGUGGGUGGGGAAGCCGGAAGUGGGCAGAGUUUGCACGGAGGCGGAGCUUUAUUGGCAAACCUGAUUGGCUUUUUGAGAAUCCUGAUCUGUUACCCAGGCUGGAGUGCAGUGAAUGAUCUCGGCUUAUUGCAACUUCCGCCUCCCAGGAUCAAGAGUUUCUGGUAUCUCAGCUUUCCGAGUAGCUGGGAUUAUAGACGUGCACCACCAUGCCUAGCUAAUUUUUGUAUUUUUAGUAGAGGCAGAGUUUCACCAUGUUGGCCAGGCUGGUCUCAAACUCCUGGCCUCAGGUGAUCUGCCCACCUCGGCCUCCCAAAGUGCUGGGAUUACAGGCGUGAGCCACCACACCUGGCCCUCAUUCUCUUAGCAGUGUAUUUUGAAGAGAAGUUUUAACUUUUAAUAAAGUUUAAUUUAUUUAUUAUUUUAUGGAUUACAUUUCUAGUGUUGUUUCUAAGAAAUUUUUGCCUACCCCAAGCUCACAAAGAAAUUUUCCUAUGUUUUCUUAUAAAAGUUUUAUGUGUUCAAGCUGUACAUUUAGAUGUAUGAUGCAUU
rnacentral:lncRNA from 1 species